rnacentral:rRNA from 1 species
AUGGCGACCACCGCCACCUUCCUACACCUCCUCGCCCCUCCGGGCCUCCGCCCCAAGCCCGUACUUCGGUCCCGCCUCCGCCGCCUCGCCCUGUCCGUCUCCCCCUCGGGCCCUGACGAGAUCCCCGCCGACGACCCGCCCGUGCUCCCCUCCAUCCUCGUCAAGAACACCGAGCCCGAGGACGUCGCGCGCCGCCGGAGCUGGGUCGAGCACGGGUGGGCGCCCUGGGAGGAGGCGAUGAGCCCCGAGGUCGCCUUCGCGCGCCACAGCCUGAACGAGGGCGAGGAGGUGCCGCUCACCUCGCCGGAGUCCGUCGAGGCGUUCCGCAUGCUCACCCCGGCGUACCGCGAGAAGGUGGAGUCCGAGCCGGGGUACCUCGAGCGCCUCUUCUCCAUGCGCGAGACGCCUGAGCCCCUCGAGACCUCGUGGGCCGGCCGGCUGCCGCUGCGGCUCGUCCCGCCGCGGGACUGGCCGCCGCCCGGCUGGGAGGUGGACCAGGACGAGCUGGCCUUCAUAAGGGAGGCUCACAGGGCGGCGUCGGAGCGGGUGGACAUGGAGGCGGCCGCCGCCAAGGGGGUGACCAACGUGGAGAAGGUGGAGGACGCGCCGCAGGAUCUGGCGCUGGAGCGGUACAAGGUGUUCCUGAAGCAGUACAAGGAGUGGGUGGAUACCAACAGGGACAGGCUGGAGGAGGAGUCCUACAAGUUUGAUCAGGAUUACUACCCUGGUAGACGAAAAAGAGGUAAGGACUACCGAGAAGAUAUGCUGGAACUUCCAUUCUUCUACCCUGGACAGAUAUGUUACGGUAAAGUGAUCUCUAUUCACCUCCAUCAAGGAGCUUUUGUGGACAUUGGUGGCACACAUGAUGGGUGGGUGCCAAUAAAAGGAAACGAUUGGUAUUGGAUCCGCCACCAUAUCAAACCUGGCAUGAAUGUCUAUGUGGAAAUUCUGGCCAAACGAGAUCCAUACCGGUUUCGUUUCCCACUUGAAAUGCGCCUUGUCUAUCCUAACAUUGAUCACCUAAUAUUUAAUAGGUUUGACUUCCCACCAAUAUUUCACCGAAAGGAGGAUACAAACGAAGAGCAGCUGUGGCGCGAAGGUGGAAGGCCGCCCAUUCCUAGGAAAAAGCCUUUGACAGACAUGGAAACAGAACCUUUGGUGUCAGACCACCCCUUUGUUGAAACGCUUUGGGAAUGGCAUAAUGCAGAGCAGAUGAUUUUAGACCACGAGGAUGAAAAUCCAGAUAAAUUCAAGGAUGUGACGUACGAGUCAACAGUUGAUACAUCCUCAUUCGACGAAGAAAACAGGAUUCAAUACACUGAAGGACGUGUCAAAGAAACAGUGCUUAAAAAGAAAGUUGUGAAUGUAAACAUCAAAGAACUUGAUAUGAAGGCUGCUCGUGCUGAGCGUGAGGAGAUUAAAAGGCUCAAAGCGGAAGCACAAGAAAGAGGAGAGGAGUACAAAAUCGGGAAGAUGCGACGGAACAAAGAAAUGGACGAGUACGAUCUGCUGCAGUGGCGUCGCUCUUACGAAGAAAGGGAAGCUCUCCUCAGAGACAUAUGCUGCCGGAAGGCCCUGGGCCUCCCCAUUGAGGAGCCGGGGCGGUACGACGUGGACGAGACCAUUGUGUACGGGAAGGACUACUACGACCCGUCGAAGCCGAUGUACCGGUACGACUACUGGGGCGAGCCACGCAACACGGAGAAGGUGAAGCUGGAGCGGGACGUGGAGCGGCACAACCAGCAGAUCAUCGGGGACGCCAAGAAGUGGUGCGAGACGUCAUACGAGGACUACGUCCGGAAGAAGACGCUGCGGGAGGCCGCCGAGGCCCGGGAGCGGCGGCGGAGGGCGUCGGAGCCGCAGGAGGAGGAGGAGGAGUACGACGACGACAUGGACCUCGACUUCGAGAAGAUGACCGACCCCCGCGCCCCGCACAACCGGUUCUACAUCACGAAAUGA